AUUUUUAGUGCUUCCAGCAGUGGUUCUUGUAGCUUAUCUACUUUUGUUGGUUCCUCAAGGUCCUGGCGGUCUAGACAGCAGGAAUAAAGGAUAAACAAUUAGGGCAGCAAGAGUCACGCACCUGCCAGGAAGAGAAUUACUCCUUGUGACCAGGAGGUGUCACUACUGAACUGAAUUCAAACAAGCCUUGAGCAGGAUGGUUCUAACAGCAAGAUAAGGGGCUAAAGCUCAGAAAGGUGAAGCCGUAUGGCCAGUGUCACACAAUUAACAUGUGGCUGCACUGGAUUCAAACCCAGGUGAGGCCCCCUCUGCCGUGAUGCCUCUGGUCACACAGCUCCACAGACAAGGAGAGUACGAGCAGGGGUGGAACUGGGAAGGCAGUUGGGCGUUCGGACGUCCUCUGACACCGGUGGGAGGGAGUCCAGGGCGCACACACCCAGAACAGGCAACAUUUCAACUAAGCUCAGAAAUAUGGCUGGGAUCCUAGGUAAGCAGCCUUGGUCACGAUGCCACAGUCUCGCAAUGCCACCUCGUACGGCCUUGAUAGAAAACUCUGCCGGCCACCCCAGCACACCUGCUACUGGGAAGUUGCCUGCUCCGGGCUCGGGGCCUUCGGGCCUCGCUCAGCAUGGUGAACUCCAAAACACCUUUCUGGUGUUCCUGCUGCCCUGUCAGUCCUCACUGUGGGCAAGACGCUCCGUGCGUUCUGGAACACGCAGCCACCCAGAAGCAUAUUUCUGCACCAACAACUGUGAGGGACCUUUCUGCCAACCAGGUUUCCACAUUUGACUUUUUCAUCUAAAAAAGUCUCAGAGCUUCACGAAGCACAGAGACAAAUUUAUUCCACCUGGACAGGAGUGAAGAACCCAGUAGGUGGAUGGAGCUGGGUAUUUUUCCCCAGAUGUUGGUGCUCAGUUUGGGUGUGGUCACCAUGAACUUCAGUGUCAACCGAGAGGACAGAUGUGACCAGAAGGGUCUGCCAUCUUCCUGGGAUGCGGCCACGUGCAGAGGGGGUGGCUCUCGGACGAAGGCACACGACUCCCAGCUGGCAGGGAAGUCCCAGAAGUACAGCCCUCCCCACUCUCCAUAUUCUCACCAAGACUCCUAAAGCAGGAACUAGGUCAAAUCUUUUAUCUUGAAGGCAAGUGCUGGGGGGUUGGGGUGAGGACAGCUCCCGUGCAGAGGACCAUCCUCACUGGCUAAGUGACCGCAAAGGCCUCAUAACCACUGGAGCACAGUUAGCCAGGGGGCAGGGCGGUCACACUGGAAAGGUCGCAUGUUCUUGGGUCCUUGCUCUGGUGUUCCCUGAACCUCCAAGAAGACUGGGCCAGGAGCCAGCCCUCCUCUUACAUGCAGGACUCGGACUUGGGCAGGAGCAUGAGGAUGUUCCGCCUCGUAAAGUGAGGGCAUGGGACGCUCGUGGAUUAAAAAACGUCCGACUCUUGGUCAGGACAUCUCCUGAGAGGAGAACGGUGAAUGAUUAGCACUCCCGCCUCCAACUUAUAGUAGCUAAUGUUUUUAUCGAUCAGCGACUACGUGCCAGGCACCAUGCUAACUGUUAACAUAUUGUUUAAUUCUUGUAUCAACCCAGGAGUUAGGACUAUUGUUAGCCCAUUUUACAGACGGGGAAACCAAUGCGAAUAAACAGCUUGUCCUUGGUGGCCUAACUACAAGAUGGCAUGACUCGCUUCAGGCGACCUGUCUCCAGCACUUAAGCACUCCACUAUGCUCUUAGCCUCUGCUUCACAGCUGCCUCGUUCCUCCGCAGGCCGCUAUCCGCUCCAGCCGCCUAAGAAAAGUUCAAAACCAGAAGCAAGUAUCAAUGGGCUGUCCGGAGACGAAGGCGCAUGGCCUGAGAUGGGAGAACGGUCAACGUCUUCUUUUAUCAGGAGGACCGCCACGCCCACCCUGUCCCGGCUGGGCCCAGUGGGCAGCGGGCAUCUUCCUCAGGGCUUCCGGCCAGGCCCGCCUCUGGGCACAAACCAAGGACUUUCACUUUGUUCAAGUCAAAUGCCAGUGGCAACUACCAAGUGCUUCACCGGUAUUAAAAAACGCCCUUUGUUUGAAAUGAGGGUAUUUCAUCUGAAAGAGGAGCACGCAAGUCCCACGAGGUGGGUAAAAUUAGCCCGGGCGAGGCUGACUCCCCUAAGGAGAGCCCUGUCGGGCAGCACGGAGCUCUGCUGAGGGCCAAACCUGAGACUGCAGCCUUCCUGCCUUCAGCAAGGACAACGGAGUAUCGUUCCACUGCCUUCUGGGUGCCCCCGGGGAGCAGACUGCCAGAGAUUGGAGCUGUGGCAAGAUCUGAGCACGUGGGAUCCCAGGGACAGAGGAGGGACCAGUCGACACCCUUCUCCCCUCGUCCCUGUGACUGCUCUAAUCCAAACCGCCAUUGCCUCUCCUCCGGGGAUGGCCUCCACUCCCAUUCCUACAGCCACAGCACAGGGUCCAAAACGUUCACCAGAGGGGCCUCGCCCUUGCUAAGCUCCCUCCAAUGGCUUUGAGCCGUUUUAGAUCCAGGAUAUUCACACUCCUUCCCGCAGCAGCGUCCGUGACCUCUGUCUAUCCCGCCCCUGCUCCUCUUUCCCCUUGCCAUAUUGGCCUUUCUGAAUCUCUAGCAACUCAGUGUCUCAGCAAAGCAUAUGCGUUUGCUGUUCCCUCUGCCUUUGGUGCCUUUCCCUUGGUCUUCAUGAUUCUCCCUACUCAGAGCUCAGUUCAAACGUCACCUCCUCAGGAUGCACAGGGAACACACUUCCUAAAACCUAUUACUUUCUAUCAUAUCACCCCUUUUAUUUGAAAUAUAAAAUUGUUUUAAAACUGGGGUAUAGCAUGUGCAGUGGUUUUAACAUACGCCCACAAAUUCUUUGCUACUACUCCUUUUAAGGAGUAAAGCUUCAUUCCUCUGCCCCUUGAGUGUGGGCAGGACCCAGUGACUUGGUGCUAACACAGAAUCCACUAGAAGCAACGGGUAGGACUCUGGAGAGUAAGUCCUAGGAGGCGAGGCACCGUGGACUCCUCUCUGACUGCUCCCUUCAAUCUCAUUUUGGGGAAAGCUGGUUGACGCGUCAUGAGGACACUAUGGCAGCCCCAUGGAAAGGUCCAUGCGGUAGGGAACCGAGCUCUCCUGGCAAUAACCAGCACUAUCUUGCCAGGUAGCUGUGAGGAGCCGCUCCCCCACUGCCCCGGCAGCCCUUCUGCAACUUUAUGAAAGACCCUGAUCCAGAGGCACCCAGCUGAGUCUGUUCCUAACUCACAGGGACCCCGUGAGAUAAUAAUGCUCAUUGUUUAUUGCUGCUAAUUUUUGUGGCAACUUGACGUACAGCCGUAGAUAAUGAGCAUAACGUGCUGGCCUCGGGUGUGCACACAGCUCAGAGGUAGAGCUGCGUGUAUUUUCCCCUAAGGGUACACCCACCCAGAUCAAGACACAAAGAGUUCCAGCUCCUACAGGCUCCCUUAGCCUCUCCUGAUCCAAUCCCCUCCCCCAAAUAACCAUUAUUUGGACCUCGAUUCCCGCAGAUCGCUUUUGCCUGUUCUUGAACUUUACAUAAAGGGGAUCCUACACUAUAGUCUCUCUUGUGUUGGCCUUUACUUAGUCCAUAGCAUCUCUGACGCUCCCCGCCGUAGCGCAUAAAGCCCCGGUUCUUUUUCCUUGCCGGGUAGUAUUCCAGUCUGCCCCAUCGCCCUGCUUUCUUUUCCCCGCAGCACCGUCACUCUCUGAGCUUGCUGACCACUGGCCCUGUAGAAGAUGAGCUCCUAGAAGGAGGCUGGCUCUUUAUCUGACCUGCUCCCUGCUGUAUCUUUAGCAUCUAGGGCAGUGUUGUCCACACAGCAGGUGGCUAAUGAAUAUCUGUUCAAUUAUUAACAAAGUGGACUCCCUCCUCGGAAUCUCUCCCACCUUGUAACCCCCCGAGGGGGGCAGCCAGCGACUUCUGAGUUUCCAGGCAAAGGAGAAAAGCUCAAAUUGCUCACACAUCUCGGUCUGUGCACUAAUUGUAUUUGGCAACUGGUGGGCAGAUCCUGAUCGGAUUUGACUCUCCUCCAGCGCUUGUGGGAAUGUUGAAGCGGUGACAAUAACAACAACAGUAACACACACACAGCUUUGUGAGGCCGUCUUCCCUGGCAUGACAUAGCACCUAUUAUGAUGAGCUCAUCGGGACAAAAUGUUUUCCCCGGCGAGACCUGCCACCAGCCUGCCUUUCUGAGACCAGCACGCGAGGAGCCGUUACAUUAACGCGUCAAGAGAGACACGAGGGAUUAAAUUUGAUGCAAUAUUCUGUGUCGCCGGAUAUAUUCAAAAUAUUUGUAUGAACGUGUAAUCAAUAUAAAACAUCAUUAAGGAGGUGUUUUACAUUUUUAAAUACUAA